CAUGCAAGCCGAGGGGUAUAGUUAGCUUGCUAACUUGAGACCGGCGCACGGGUGCGUAACGCGUAUGCCACUUGCCCUACUGAAGAGGAUAGCCCAGAGAAAUUUGGAUUAAUACUUUAUAAUAGAUUGAAUGGCAUCAUUUAGUUUUGAAAGAUUUAUCGCAGUAGGAUAGGCAUGCGUAAGAUUAGUUAGUUGGUAAGGUAACGGCUUACCAAGACGAUGAUCUUUAGGGGGCCUGAGAGGGUGAACCCCCACACUGGUACUGAGACACGGACCAGACUCCUACGGGAGGCAGCAGUGAGGAAUAUUGGACAAUGGGUGGAAGCCUGAUCCAGCCAUCCCGCGUGUAGGAUGACGGCCUUAUGGGUUGUAAACUACUUUUAUCUGGGGAUAAACCUACUUACGUGUAAGUAGCUGAAGGUACCAGAAGAAUAAGCACCGGCUAACUCC
rnacentral:rRNA from 1 species